rnacentral:rRNA from 1 species
UACGUAGGGGGCAAGCGUUGUCCGGAUUUAUUGGGCGUAAAGGGCGUGUAGGCGGUCUGGCAAGUCAGGGGUGAAAUCCCGCAGCUCAACUGCGGGCUUGCCUCUGAAACUGCUGGGCUUGAGUGCUCUAGAGGGCAGUGGAAUUCCCGGUGUAGCAGUGAAAUGCGUAGAGAUCGGGAGGAACACCAGUGGCGAAGGCGACUGCCUGGGGAGUAACUGACGCUGAGGCGCGAAAGCUGGGGGAGCGAACGGG